AAGAUUUUAAGUUAACAAAACUAUUAAUUUUCAAAAUUAAAUAUAUAAACUUAUUAAGUUAUAAAUCUUA
rnacentral:tRNA from 1 species